rnacentral:rRNA from 1 species
CAGCAGCCGCGGGAAUACGUAGGGUGCAAGCGUUAAUCGGAAUUACUGGGCGUAAAGGGCUCGCAGGCGGUUUCUUAAGUCUGAUGUGAAAGCCCCCGGCUCAACCGGGGAGGGUCAUUGGAAACUGGGAAACUUGAGUGCAGAAGAGGAGAGUGGAAUUCCACGUGUAGCGGUGGAAUGCGUAGAGAUGUGGAGGAACACCAGUGGCGAAGGCGACUCUCCGGUCUGUAACUGACGCUGAGGAGCGAAAGCGUGGGGAGCGAACAGGAUUAGAUACCCCGGUAGUCCCUGUCUCUUAUAC